UACGUAGGUGGCAAGCGAUACUCGGAAUCACUGGGCGUAAAGCGCAGGUAGGUGGUUUGGUAAGUCUUUUGUGAAAGCUCCUGGCUUAACUGGGAGAGGUCAAAGGAAACUACCAGGCUAGAGUGUGGUAGGGGAUACUGGAAUUCCUGGUGUAGCGGUGAAAUGCGUAGAUAUCAGGAGGAAUACCUAUGGCGAAAGCAGGUAGCUGGGCCAUCACUGACACUGAGAUGCGAAAGCUAGGGGAGCAAACAGG
rnacentral:rRNA from 1 species